ensembl:lncRNA
ACAUGGUGUAACCAGCUGCCUCACACUUGGGCUGCAUGGCGUCCCAAACUUGAUAGACUGUGCCUUCAAACUGGGAGCUAGCUGAGAGCUCUUGUCAUGUAUUCUGUCACAACAAUGAGACCAACUAAUACAGGAUGUCAUUCACUUGAUGAGCAUUUUUUAUUAUUACAAGAGGAAGCAAAAUAUUGACUCUUCUAACCUUGGCUUUGUAGCAACUCUUUGAGGUUCUCGAUGAUGAGAACCCAGGGCACUCAGCUGUGGUGUGAGAGAGCAUGACUCUGGCUGCCACCCUCUUCUAUCUACCUGAAGCUUCCACUAGCUGAGCUGUAUUCCACUAGUUGCAGUAUGGAACCAGCACCUUGGGAGGUGAAGGCAGGAGGAUCGUCAGGACUUCAAGAUUAUCCUCAGCUACAUAAGAACACAGUUGUGUAUCCAGCACCCAGAAUAAAAGAACAUAAAACUACCAGUACCCCAGAAGAUCCCCAGAUGGGAGCCUUCAUCUAGAUUCCUUUCCUUUUUUUCCUGGUUUUUGUAGAGCAAAAAAAUCAUAUACUGAUCAUCCUUCUCUGCCUGGAUUCUUUUUGUUUCUUUUGUUCUUUUUUAUUGUUUUCAGACAGGGUUUCCUUUUGUAGCCCUGGAUACCCUGGAACUCACCCUGUCGACCAGGCUGGCUUCAAACUCUCACAGAGAUCUGCCUGCCUCUGCCUCCUGAGUGCUGGGGUCAAAGAUUUGGAAACUGGACUUGAAGAGGUUAGCACUUGGCAAAGCGACAUGACUGUGUAAGUAACAGAACCAGAAUUUGAAAUCAAGCUCUCGUCAAAAGUCCAAGGCUUCACCACAGUAACGUACUAGCUUCCUUAUACAUGCAAGUGUUCACGGGGCUGAUACCAACUAGACACAGGGACACCAGAAGGGCCUAGAGAACUGAAGGUUUAAGUUGCUAACUCCAAAAAUUGAUUGGGGAUGUCAUUCUGUAUAUGUGUUUCUUUUAUUGGUUGAUGAAUAAAACACUGUUUGGCCAAUAGAGGUAGAAAAUAGGUGGGAUGAGGAGAUGAGGAGAAUUCUGGGAAUAGUAGGCAGAGAGAGACCUCGAAGAGAUGCCAGGUACUACAAAGGAGUAACAGGUCUGGGCAUUCUCCUGUAAGCCAAGACCAUGUGGAAAUAUAUAGACUAAUAGAAAUGGGUUAAUAAUUAAGACAGAGCUAGCCAAUAAGAAGCCCUAGCCAUUGGCCAAUAAUUUUAUAAGUAAUAUAGUGUCUGUGUGUUUAUUUGGGGAUGAAAAGCAGCCAUUGUAAAUGCCAGUCCCUCUUCAGCAGCAACAACACCUCCAGAAGACAUCUGGAUAGAGAUGAAGACUAUUCAAAACCAUGUGUCAAUGCAUUUGCUAGGGGACUCAUAGACAAGUUACAGAAUGAAGCAGUGUCAAUGCAUUUGCCAGGGGACUCUCAGACAUGUGACACAGAAUGAAGCAAAGAUGUUUCUAGAAGGAAAGACUCAUAAGAAAGCCAGAGCCUGUGAGUAGAAGACAGAAGACCCAAUAAUGCAAAAUCUGGGGAAAUCAUUGUGCUGACUUCCCAAGGUCACAGAGCUGUUUGGUACUAGGUGGGGAACUUGAACUCUAGUGUCGAGAUUCCAAGUCCAGAAUCUCCACCUAGUGCUGUUCUCUCAGUGUACCAGAGGCAAGAGUGCUGGAUUUAGAGAUGUUUAGGGGGUUACAGAACUUUCACGAGCUGGAGUUGGAGCACAUCACUGGGGUUGUCUUUGAGCGUUUAUAACAUCACCCCGUUUCUCUUUGUUUCUCUGUGGUGGACGAUGUGAUCUCUCACGGCUCCACGUGUGUGCUGUCAUGACGUCCCCGACGUUAGAGACCCCCAUUCUGGAACCAGAAGCCAAAAUAACCUCUGUCUUCUGAUACUGCUUGGAAGAGUGAAUCCAUGAUCUGAGGAGAUCGCUUAUGUGAGGAGGAGGCAGAUGUGAGAAAUAGGACAUUAAACUAUGAUUUGGAGGAGGAAUAAAUGGGUACCCGCUGAAGACCUAAACUACUGAGAAUCAGUCAUCCAGGAGAUCAGACAGGGACCAUGUCUACUCCUUAAUUUGAAUGAACACUCAAGAACUACUGCAGGAAAAUGGGGAAGAGGCCCAAGAAUGGGAUAAAAUUCAGAAAGUAUGCUCUCAUAGAAACGUCGAAGAACAGUGGAUGCAUUGUUGAUCUGAAAAUAGGUUUAGAAGCAGCACUAAGUUCUGGUACCCAUAAUUCAUUGCGAUGAAACUGGUUGACAAAGGAAGUGGUUGACAGCUGUCAGAGAAGGAUCUGCCAAAACUGAACAGUCAGCCCCACCCGAGGAGGGCUGAGGGUGGAAGGCUAAACACCCUGACCAUCCAUUUCUCCACACGCCCACAUUCAAGGUUGCUGAGAGUGCCGCCCAGCCUGCAGUUCAGGAGAUCUGGAUGUCCCUGAGGUAAAUAACCAUGAGUAUAUUCAUUCAUUCCACAGAAACUCAUGGAACCCCCAUAACACCCUAAGAACCACAGAGAACAGCCAAGUAAUGGGAAUAUUCCAGCAUCUCUAUGAGUCAGAGUGAUGCUAUCCAACCCAUCUGGAGCAGAGGGAAGGGUAUUAUGGGAACAGGGUUUGGUCAAAGAGAAGCACCGAUCUACACCUCCUUCCUUGUUACUCUUAGUUCUGGUGCACAUAUUGAUGCCGUAAGGACACAGCUGCAUCAUUAAUGGGGAUAGUACCACAAAACCAAUUGUGUUUUCUUCUAGAUUCUAGCUUAUUCCACUCAAUUCACCAAAUAUCUGUGAUGUACCAACUGGGUGUCUAGUGUUGGAGCUGUAAACAUGAACGUCUUCUUUAGAAAUGGUCUCCCUUCCCUCAACAAAGUACAAGUGGCACAUCUAGGCAACUUCAAAUCCAGACACUGAUCCAAGAGACCUGAAUUCCUCUGUAGGUGUUCCUGUAAAGUGGGAAGGUGGUCCCACCCCCCCCUUGCCCCAACAAAGACAUGGUGACACUGGUCAAGGCCAUGGGAAGCCGGGCUGAGCCACCUCUGCAGUCCUCCAGCCAGCACUUCAGAGUACUGGCUGUCAACCAUGGGACAACUUUUUCCUCAUUUUGUGCCUUCAGAAUUCAGAACGACCAGACAGUACAAGACAGGCGUCUAGCUUCUGUGGGGCCCUGAAGAACUUCCUUCCGGGUCUCAGACACAACGGCCUCACUGUCCAUCUUUCCCCAUCUGGAACAAGGCAGAGAAUAGAGACCAGGAUAUCUUUUUUGUAUUGAUAUCUGAUUUUCUCCAGUUACAUUAAUGCUUCAUAAAAGUACCUGUGUAAUUUAACCCAGUACUAUAAUCUAUUUCUGACCUAUUAAUAAUUUUAAAAUACAGACCUGAUAAACA